rnacentral:misc_RNA from 1 species
GAUGAAGACGUAGCGAAAUGCGAUAAGUAAUGCGAAUUGCAGAAUUUCCGUGAGUCAUCGAAUCUUUGAACGCACAUUGCGCCCGCCAGCAUUCUGGCGGGCAUGCCUGUUCGAGCGUCAUUUCAACCCUCGACCUCCCCUUGGGGAGGUCGGCGUUGGGGACCGGCAGCACACCGCCGGCCCUGAAAUGGAGUGGCGGCCCGUCCGCGGCGACCUCUGCGCAGUAAUACAGCUCGCACCGGGACCCCGACGCGGCCACGCCGUAAAACACCCAACUUCUGAACGUUGACCUCGAAUCAGGUAGGACUACCCGCUGAACUUAAGCAUAUCAAUAAGCGGAGGA